UACGAAGGGGGCUAGCGUUGCUCGGAAUUACUGGGCGUAAAGGGCGCGUAGGCGGGUCGUUUAGUUAGAGGUGAAAGCCCAGGGCUCAACCCUGGAAUUGCCUUUAAUACUGGCGGCCUUGAGUAUGGCAGAGGUGUGUGGAACUCCGAGUGUAGAGGUGAAAUUCGUAGAUAUUGGGAAGAACACCGGUGGCGAAGGCGGCGACCUGGUCCAAGACUGACGCUGAGGCGCGAAAGCGUGGGGAGCAAACAGG
rnacentral:rRNA from 1 species